rnacentral:lncRNA from 1 species
UAUCCUCUGAGAAACAGGAAAUAGUCUGUGGGUGUGAGAGAAAGCUUUUGGUUUUCUAAUACAAGCAAAACAUUAACGUUUGUGCCCUGCAAUCUUCCUCCUGUCUUCCCACAGGUAUUUUCAACUUAAUACCUCACCUGCCUUGGUCAUUCGUGCCUGGGAAAAGGCCAGAAGAAUCACUGAGAUGCCAACCUUGGCAUUAUGAAGCCGCUGAAUCAAUACCAGCAGCUGCCUUUCUCCAGAUUCGUGUAUUAAUGUGAAAAGUGAUCUCUCUGUGUUAAGCUAGGUUGUCUUUCACUUGCAGCACAGCAUUCCUAUCUGAUGCACACAGUUCUGAAAACAAAACUGUCUGUGUUCAUGACUCAUUUUGCCCAGAAGCUUACCGCGCAGUUCCAACACUGUCAGAAGGCAGACAGAAUCAAAAGCCCGCAUGACUGUGUUUGUGUACAGCAUUCCUGAGCAUGUUAUGUGUCUACAGGUAAUUUCUGGCUACUGUACAAAGGAAUAUAUUAAGAUUAAAAGCAGAAGCUACCACCUAUGCUUCAUCAUGGAGACACUCAUGAAAGAGGACUUCCAGAAGUGCUACGGAGAACGGCAAGAACAAUGAGUGUCUGAAGUUCGGGUGAGUAUUUUGAGAGGGAUAAUGGCAAUGUUAUGUACACGCACCAACUCCCUCUGAGAAACAGAAUCAGCAUGUACUGCAAACGUGUACUUAUAAAAAAAUAAAGAUUAAAAUAUUAAAC